rnacentral:rRNA from 1 species
GACGAACGCUGGCGGCGUGCCUAAUACAUGCAAGUAGAACGCUGAAGGAGGAGCUUGCUUCUCUGGAUGAGUUGCGAACGGGUGAGUAACGCGUAGGUAACCUGCCUGGUAGCGGGGGAUAACUAUUGGAAACGAUGGCUAAUACCGCAUAAUAUUGACUAUUGCAUGAUAGUCAGUUGAAAGGUGCAACUGCACCACUACCAGAUGGACCUGCGUUGUAUUAGCUAGUUGGUGGGGUAACGGCUCACCAAGACGACGAUACAUAGCCGACCUGAGAGGGUGAUCGGCCACACUGGGACUGAGACACGGCCCAGACUCCUACGGGAGGCAGCAGUAGGGAAUCUUCGGCAAUGGACGGAAGUCUGACCGAGCAACGCCGCGUGAGUGAAGAAGGUUUUCGGAUCGUAAAGCUCUGUUGUAAGAGAAGAACGAGUGUGAGAGUGGAAAGCUCACACUGUGACGGUAUCUUACCAGAAAGGGACGGCUAACUACGUG